GUGGGGGCCGCCAGCCCCCUCGGGCGCAGUCACGUGACCGGGCUUCAGCCCAACCCCGCCCUUGCUGGUGCGAGUCCCUGGCUUUCCUUCGUGUCGUUUAAAGAAUCCGCGCGAGCCAGCCCAGGUGUUAACCGUGAGGGACCAAGCCCCGGGCUCAGCGUCGCCCAUUUUCCACCCUCUCUGGACAGAGGGACGAAGCAAGCAGGAUGGAAAGCAGAGACAGGAGGAUUACCCAGAAGCUCUAGACCAGCUAGCAUGCAACCUAGCAGCAAAAAAGAGCCUGCCUCAGGAAACAAAAGGCCAUGGAUUCCUUCAAGGUUAAUAGAGAUCAGGUUUGAUCUGGGGAGACCCCCUGAAUAUCUUGACUACAGACAUAAAGAAAUAAACUAAGGAAAAACUACAAGACGGUGAUGUAUAUACUGAUCCCUCUGCAUGGGAACAGUUCUGAGACUGGACAAUAAAUGUUACAAUUAGUUUUCCCAGGA